rnacentral:misc_RNA from 1 species
AUGCGAUAACUAAUGUGAAUUGCAGAAUUCAGUGAAUCAUCGAGUCUUUGAACGCACAUUGCGCCCCCUGGUAUUCCGGGGGGCAUGCCUGUCCGAGCGUCAUUGCUGCCCUCAAGCCCGGCUUGUGUGUUGGGCCCUCGUCCCCCGGCUCCCGGGGGACGGGCCCGAAAGGCAGCGGCGGCACCGCGUCCGGUCCUCGAGCGUAUGGGGCUUCGUCUUCCGCUCCGUAGGCCCGGCCGGCGCCCGCCGACGCAUUUAUUUGCAACUUGUUUUUUUCCAGGUUGACCUCGGAUCAGGUAGGGAUACCCGCUGAACUUAA